UACGUAGGUGGCAAGCGUUGUCCGGAUUUACUGGGCGUAAAGAGCGCGCAGGCGGUCAAGUAAGUCGAAUGUGAAAGCCCCUGGCUCAACCAGGGAGGGUCAUUCGAUACUGCUCGACUCGAAGGCAGGAGAGGGAAGUGGAAUUCCGGGUGUAGUGGUGAAAUGCGUAGAUAUCGGGAGGAACACCAGUGGCGAAGGCGACUACCUGGCCUGUUCUUGACGCUGAGGCGCGAAAGCUAGGGGAGCAAACGGG
rnacentral:rRNA from 1 species